rnacentral:rRNA from 1 species
AACGAACGCUGGCGGCAUGCCUAACACAUGCAAGUCGAACGAGACCUUCGGGUCUAGUGGCGCACGGGUGCGUAACGCGUGGGAACCUGCCCUUAGGUUCGGAAUAACUCCCCGAAAGGGGUGCUAAUACCGGUUAAUGUCUUCGGACCAAAGAUUUAUCGCCUUUGGUUGGGCCCGCGUUGGAUUAGCUAGUUGGUAGGGUAAAAGCCUACCAAGGCGACGAUCCAUAGCUGUUCUGAGAGGAUGAUCAGCCACACUGGGACUGAGACACGGCCCAGACUCCUACGGGAGGCAGCAGUGGGGAAUAUUGGACAAUGGGCGAAAGCCUGAUCCAGCAAUGCCGCGUGAGUGAUGAAGGCCUUAGGGUUGUAAAGCUCUUUUACCCGGGAUGAUAAUGACAGUACCGGGAGAAUAAGCUCCGGCUAACUCCGUG